GUUCAAGGGAUGUGGUAUCCAUAGAGUAGAGUCAUGGUAACAGGUUGAAAAAAUGACCCAACUAAUAAAACUACUGUGAUUUUGUGAUAUUUAAUGCAUUGAGACUUCAAUGAAUCUGAUCUUAUUUAUCACUAUGGUACUUCCUCUGCUUGUAUGGAAUCAUUGAAGAUUCUAUGGGAUUCUGGGAUUCUUGUCCAUGUUUUCUCAUUAAUCCACUGGAGUUGGGGAAAAGGAACUAGUGUUUGUUCCUCAACAAGACUUGCAUUAAUAGAACUGUUCAUCCAUUAUCCUUUGCUCUAGCUAUAUGAUGUUACAAAACCAUAUUAAUAAGAAAAUGCCAUGUCAUAAAAGGAGCAAGACUUAUUGACAGGAAUUGGGGCCAAGACUUCUGUACUGAUUUACUGAAUUUCUUUCAACCAAGCCCCUUAAACUCUUGGUCCUUCAACAACAUAUCAGGCUGUUUAAAAAACUCCUGGUCCCAGGGCUACUGUGAGGCAUAGUUUAUAUUUCCCAGAAAGCUUUCAGCAGUGCUAAUGAAUGAAUAUAUUAGUAAAAUGAAAACAAAAUACUUUGGUUUAUAUACUGAUAGCUCAUAAGUUAUCCCCUUUGAAUGUGACUAAUGUAUUUUUGUUUAUUCAUUUGAAGUUUGUUUAUGGCUGAUUAGUUUCAUGGCCCACAGCAUACUGCCUCAAAUUUGUGGAUUUGAAUCCUAUGUGGAAUCUUACAUGAAACAGGAAUGUCCUCUGCAAGUUCAGCAAGCAAAUUGCACAAUUAAAAAGAUGUCAUCCAAGGAUGUGGCGUCUCUGCUAAUGGACUGAUUCAUUGCUGGCUGAGUCAACCAAAUCACUCAUCACCUAACUUGGUACUGCUGUUACCAGCUUUCAGUGCUGAAGAGAGAGAGCUUCCAUGGCUCUUCCAAGCCUCUUUUGAGAGCUCACAAGAUUGUCAUCUAGUCUGUUCCAUCUCAGGGAUUUAAGCAUGUUCAUGCUUAAAGCCUUAAACCAAAGGUUAAAGGUGGAAAGGAAGAACAAGAUAGAAAAACUGUCGUGCCAAAGGGAUCAACAAUUAGUGGACUAGGUUGCUCAUAUUGGUGAUCAAUUAAGAUGUGGGGUAGGCCAAGAAUACAAGGAAAUCAGGAAAUCAGAAACUCAUUAGAAGCAGAAAACUGGAACAAAGUGUCUGACUGAUUGUGUGUAUUUGUGUGUAUUUAUGGAAGACCUCAGAAUAUUAGACCAAAUGUUAUAAAAUUAAGGGAAUUAAAUAUCACUCUUCCUCACAGGAAGCCUCCCUAGUCUUAGAGCUGCAGUUUUGUUUCAGUUGGCUGUUUUGGAAUUUUUUUUUGUCAUAGCUGGUAAUACAAGCUCAUCAAAAGUGAAAAAUGAAGAAUGCGGCUGGAUUCAUAGAUAUGAUCAUGCAGCCUU